rnacentral:rRNA from 1 species
UACGGAGGGGGCGAGCGUUAUUCGGAAUUAUUGGGCGUAAAGGGCGCGUAGGCGGCCUGAUAAGUCAAAGGUGAAAUCCCUCGGCUCAACUGAGGAAUUGCCUUUGAAACUGUCAGGCUUGAGGCCGGGAGGGGGUGGCGGAAUUCCCAGUGUAGCGGUGAAAUGCGUAGAUAUUCGGAAGAACACCAGUGGCGAAGGCGACUUACUGGUCCAUGACUGACGCUGAGGCUCGAAAGCGUGGGGAGCAAACAGG